rnacentral:rRNA from 1 species
UUCCGGUUGAUCCUGCCGGAGGCUACCGCUAUUGGAGUUCGAUUAAGCCAUGCGAGUCGCGAGUCUUAGGGACUCGGCGUACCGCUCAGUAACACGUGGGUAACCUGCCCUAUGCUGGGGGAUAACCUCGGGAAACUGAGAAUAAUACCCCAUAGUUCACCACGCCUGGAACGGUGGGUGGAUCAAAGCUCCGGCGGCAUAGGAUGGGCCUGCGGCGUAUCAGGUUGUAGGGGGUGUAAUGUACCCUCUAGCCCUCUACGCGUACGGGUGUUGAGAGACAUCGCCCGGAGAUGGAUUCUGAGACACGAAUCCAGACCCUACGGGGUGCAGCAGGCGCGAAAACUUGGCAAUGCGAGAAAUCGUGACCAGGGAACUCCAAGUGCAUCGGGUAAGACCGAUGCUUUUCUUGACUCUUCAAAGGUCUUGGAAUAAGGGGUGGGUAAGGACGGUGCCAGCCGCCGCGGUAAUACCGGCGCCCCAAGUGGUAGUCGCUUUUAUUGGGCCUAAAACGUCCGUAGCCUGUCUGGUACAUUCGUGGGUAAAUCAACCAGCUCAACUGGUUGAAUUCUGCGAGCACGGCCAGACUUGGGACCGGGAGAGGUGUGGGGUACUCUCAGGGUAGGGGUAAAAUCCUGUCAUCCUGAGAGGACCACCUGUUGCGAAGGCGCCACACUAGAACGGAUCCGACGGUCAGGACGAAGCCUAGGGGCACGAACCGGAUUAGAUACCCGUAGUCC